UUGAUUCACCUUCUGAUGGUCGACCAGGUGUGAAUGUUGUCAACAGUUCUCAUAAAAUAAAUCUGGAAGGAGUCAGCAAUUCUACUCUGAGUGUGAGGGACACAAAGAAGAAUGAAAAU